rnacentral:lncRNA from 1 species
AUCUAGGGAGUUUUACGAUUUCUUGUUUAAUUGGUAGCUUAGAUGUUAAUAAUGCUUUGGCUGAUUUAGGGGCUAGUAUCAAUGUCUUGCCUUACAAAAUGUUUAAGCAACUAGGUCUUGAGAAACCCAAACAAACUAGGAUGAGUAUUCAAUUAGCUGAUAAAACAAUCAGAUUUCCUAGGGGUAUUAUUGAAGAUGUUGUAACACCACCAACCCGGCCUAGACGUUACAGCCGAAUCUGGUGUGUCACAUUACCUACAACUAACCAAGUUACCUAGUUUACUAAAGCUUAUGAGAGCUUUACAAAAACCAUUAAUGAAGUUUUAAGAGAAAUGUUUCGAUUCAAUAGUGUGAGUCCUAUCCAUUAUCGAUUGUUAAGGGUUUAGAAAAAACGUGACUUUUGUUGCACCUUGAAAAGUUUCAUUUUGAAGACGUUUGAUUGUCGUGUCUGUUUGAAACAAGUAAUUUUUGAUAAAACCAUAGUUAACCAAUUUCAAGGAAUCAAUUUAAGUGAUGUGAAUCUCAAGUCGAAAACGAUUUAAGUAAUUUAAAAACCCAAAAUAAAAAUAAUAGAGCGGCCUUAUUACAACUUUAACCAAAAUAGAAAUAAUCAAAAAUAAAUGCGAAAUUUAAAAGGAAGCUACUUGAAACUUAUUUAAAACCAGAAAUUUAAUCUUCGUGGCCACUCUGAAUCCCGCCCAGCUCCAAGUCCACCAACUAGGGCUCACCUGCAAGGAUGGAAGAGAAAGGGGGUGAGUUUCGAAAACUAAGUGUAUAUGGAAAACCCAUCCAAAGCCCAAGUCAGCUCAAGCCCAUUGGCCUAAGCCCUAUUCAGAUAACCGCGGGUACUGGGCCGAAGCCCUUUUCAGAAUACGAUAAACUGGGCCUUAGCCCCUUUUCAGAUAACAGUAUCACCCAUAGGCCCAUUCUAGAACAGAACAGACAUAUUCGGGUAUGCAAACCCAACCCAGCCUAUAACCAACCACUACACUCCACUCGUACCAGCCCUCCACUCCAUGUGGGGAAUAGCUCAACCCAUCCAGCCCUACACUCCAUAGUUGCAGCAUAGCUGCUCAGAUAUCACUAAGUUGAGGCAAAGCCUCCAGUACGUGGUCAAGCCACUUUCAGUACUUCCUCCAUCAAUAACGCAAUCCCAUGCAUCAAAUAAUAAUAACAUGGCAUGCAGUAAAUAGUAACAGUCAAACAUGCAUUCAGGUCAACCUUAACCCUCGGGGUAUAUCAGUAAUUUUGCUCCUAGGGGUAAAACUAUAAACUUUCCACCUAUAAAGGUAUUUCAGUACUUUUAUCAGUUUUAAGGGUUCUCAUUAAUGUUACAGUCCUUACUAGCCCAUUUUUCAUCACAGUAAUUUAUUUAUCUCAAUUUCACAAUUUUAGCCAUUGGGCCCUAAAACCCUUAAUGGGCCCUACAGUGUCCAUUAGCAAUUUAAGCCCAUUUAACUCAAGUUUUAUGACCAAUUUACCGGUUUACGUAGUUUCGAUUCUACAGUCUAAUAGAACAUACUUAUUGCCUUUUUUAUAUUAUAAAUUAUUAUUUUUUUAUUAACCCGUAUGGGCCCGUAAACCCAUUGGGCCCAGUUUUAGCCUAUCGAGGCCUAAUUACCGAAGUGCACGAAAUUUCACACACGACUAACUUACCACUUUGCGAUUUCAGAUCUAAUGAUUUCUAAACGUCUUGUGAGCACUCGCACACUCACAAGCGCACGAAAUGACGAAAUUUUGGCAUUUUGGCUUUUGCUGAAUUGAACUAGGAGAGGGUGUUCGAUACACACCUGUGUCGCAACGACUGCUACUGAGAUCCCUUGCGAUGUCCUACAAUUGAUUACCACAAUUCUUAGAUUGCAACCCACAACAACAAAUCCCAAUAUUCAGCAACCCAUAUUUGAACCAUGCCCCUAAAGCCUUUAGAAUCUUACCUUUUUACCGAAAACCGAUAACUAGAUCUGAGUCUAGUUGUUCCAAAGAUCCAAGCCUUCGAUCAAACCUAUUGAAGACACUAAUCACCAAAAGAAAUCAUCGGUUAAAGACCCUUAAAGCCCUAUGCCCAAAUCGAUAGCCUCCCUAGAUUUUAGGGACUUCGGCUUUUCUAAAUUGUAAAAUAAGACUAGAUCUGAGGUGAUGAGCACUUACCACUUAUUCCUCUUUGAUUUCUAUAUAGAUCUGAUGUAGAUCUAUUAAUUGAGAAUAGAAGCUCGUUCCUUUUUGUUUCCCUAUAAUUGGGGCCGUAGAGCUCUAUCCAUUUAUUCACUCGACCCAACUUUGAAUUCAAUUCAUUGUUUUUGUUCCGCACCAAAAAUUCAAAAAUGGUUUAAGACAGAAAAUUGUUUGGCAUUCUGGAAUGAAUGAAUGGAAAAACUGGUUAAGGAGUCAUUAUCAAUACGAUUUAGUUCAGAAUAGAUGGCUAAAAUUAGUACCAGGACAAUGGCGAAAUAGAGUCAAUAAUAUUAAAUUGAAAAAUAGGAACUUCGAAUCUUUUUCUGAUAUACAUAAAGUAAAUAGAAAAAGAUUCGAAGUGGAUUUCUCGACCCGUGAAAUGAAAAAAUAGCCUCUGGAGUUUUUUUGUUUUAUAUUCAUCUGAAGGAAAUAUGAGAAAGAAAACAAUAACAAUAAAUAAAAGAAAUAAAAUGAAGGAAAUAUAUCAGACUAUAGUAAUUUAAUACACAUAGAAAUUAGAAAAAUACAUAAAAAUAUUGAUUUUUAUCAAUUUCACGAACAAGAUCCAAGAAUAAGAUUAGUUGAUGGAGGGGGAGGGGUAGAUCUGGGGAUCAACCAGUAGCGAGAGAAGGGAUCGCUUCUUCCUUGAAUUGAAGAGUUCGUUCAAAAAAUUCAUCUAUCUGAUUGAUGAGCCAUAAGACAAUUCAUGGUUCAGACGACUAGUAAAAAUAGAAAAGAAUAAACGAAUUGAGUUCAUGGAUUUACCUAAGUCAGGUUAUGGACCAAUACAAGAAAAUAUUUUUUUAUAUUCGAAACCAAUUAAUUAUAAGGGGCAGUGCAUGAGAAAUCAAAUCAUACAUAAAAAAUCGAAUCCCCCAGCGCCCCCAUAACAUAAGGUGCUCGGAAAUGGUUGAAGUAGUU